rnacentral:rRNA from 1 species
GACCUGGGCCGAGUGGUCUUGCCAUCGGCUUGCACUGCCGGCCUGGUCUUUCCCUUCUGGCGAGCCUGCGUGCACUUUGCUGUGUGUGCUUGCGAUCCAGGACUUUUACUUUGAAAAAAUUAGAGUGUUUAAAGCGAGCAAUUUGCUUGAAUACAUUAGCAUGGAAUAAUAGAAUAGGACUUUGGUUCUAUUUUGUUGGUUUCUAGGACUGAAGUA